rnacentral:rRNA from 1 species
CCUACGGGGUGCAGCAGUGGGGAAUUUUGGGCAAUGCUCGUAAGAGUGACGCAGCGACGCCGCGUGAAUGACGAAGGCCUUCGGGACGUAAAGUUCUUUCGAAAGGGAAGAAAAUGCCUAUAAGUAACUGUGUAUGUAUUGACGGUACCUGAAUAAGCAGCCCCGGCUAAAUCCGUGCCAGCAGCCGCGGUAAUACGGAGGGGGCUAGCGUUGUUGGGAGUGACUGGGCGUAAAGAGCAGGUAGGCGGUGUUGUAAGUCAUAAGUCAAAGCCUAGAGCUCAACUUUAGUAAGGCUAGUGAUACUAUAAUACUAGAGUGUCAGAGAGGAUUGCAGAAUUCCUGGUGUAGCGGUGAAAUGCGUAGAUAUCAGGAGGAAUACCGUUAGCGAAGGCGGCAAUCUGGCUAGAAACUGACGCUGAGGUGCGAAAGCGUGGGUAGCAAACAGGAUUAGAUACCCGAGUAGUC